rnacentral:tRNA from 1 species
AGAGAGAUGCCGGAGAGGAUUAACGGAUCAAUUUCGAAAAUUGAAAAGAAUUUUUUCUUCAGGGGUUCGAAUCCCCUUCUCUCUA